CCUACGGGUGGCAGCAGUGAGGAAUAUUGGUCAAUGGGCGAGAGCCUGAACCAGCCAAGUAGCGUGAAGGAUGACUGCCCUAUGGGUUGUAAACUUCUUUUAUAUGGGAAUAAAAUGUUCCACGUGUGGAGUUUUGUAUGUACCAUAUGAAUAAGGAUCGGCUAACUCCGUGCCAGCAGCCGCGGUAAUACGGAGGACCCGAGCGUUAUCCGGAUUUAUUGGGUGUAAAGGGAGCGUAGGUGGAUUGUUAAGUCAGUUGUGAAAGUUUGCGGCUCAACCGGAAAAUUGCAGUUGAAACUGGAAGUCUUGAGUACAGUAGAGGUGGGCGGAAUUCGUGGUGUAGCGGUGAAAUGCUUAGAUAUCACGAAGAACCCCGAUUGCGAAGGCAGUCCACUGGAGUGCAACUGACGCUGAGGCUCGAAAGUGCGGGUAUCAAACAGGAUUAGAUACCCUUGUAGUC
rnacentral:rRNA from 1 species